UGCGUAACGCGUGGGAAUCUGCCCUUGGGUACGGAAUAACUCAGAGAAAUUUGUGCUAAUACCGUAUAAUGUCCUCGGACCAAAGAUUUAUCGCCCAAGGAUGAGCCCGCGUAGGAUUAGCUAGUUGGUGAGGUAAAAGCUCACCAAGGCGACGAUCCUUAGCUGGUCUGAGAGGAUGAUCAGCCACACUGGGACUGAGACACGGCCCAGACUCCUACGGGAGGCAGCAGUGGGGAAUAUUGGACAAUGGGCGAAAGCCUGAUCCAGCAAUGCCGCGUGAGUGAUGAAGGCCUUAGGGUUUGUAAAGCUCUUUUACCCGGGAUGAUAAUGACAGUACCGGGAGAAUAAGCUCCGGCUAACUCCGUGCCAGCAGCCGCGGUAAUACGGAGGGAGCUAGCGUUGUUCGGAAUUACUGGGCGUAAAGCGCGCGUAGGCGGUUUUUUAAGUCAGAGGUGAAAGCCCAGUGCUCAACACUGGAACUGCCUUUGAAACUGGAAAACUUGAAUCUUGGAGAGGUCAGUGGAAUUCCGAGUGUAGAGGUGAAAUUCGUAGAUAUUCGGAAG
rnacentral:rRNA from 1 species